rnacentral:rRNA from 1 species
AUUGAACGCUGGCGGCAUGCCUAACACAUGCAAGUCGAACGGCAGCGCGGGGGCAACCCUGGCGGCGAGUGGCGGACGGGUGAGGAAUGCAUAGGAAUCUGCCCGGUUGUGGGGGAUAACGUAGGGAAACUUACGCUAAUACCGCAUACGACCUUCGGGUGAAAGUGGGGGACCUUCGGGCCUCACGCGAUCUGAUGAGCCUAUGCCCGAUUAGCUAGUUGGCGGGGUAAGAGCCCACCAAGGCGACGAUCGGUAGCUGUUCUGAGAGGAUGAUCAGCCACACUGGGAGUGAGACACGGCCGCGACUCCUGCGGGAGGCAGCAGUGGGGAAUAUUGGACAAUGGGGGCAAGCCUGAUACAGCAAUGCGGCGUGUGUGAAGAAGGCGUGCGGGUUGGAAAGCGCUGUUGUUCGGGGAGAAGUACGUGUGGUUAAUACGCGGACGGGAUGACGGUACCGAAAGAAUAAGCACCGGCUAACUUCGUG